rnacentral:rRNA from 1 species
AUACGGAGGGGGUUAGCGUUGUUCGGAAUUACUGGGCGUAAAGCGCACGUAGGCGGAUUAGUAAGUUAGAGGUGAAAUCCCAGGGCUCAACCCUGGAACUGCCUUUAAUACUGCUAGUCUUGAGUUCGAGAGAGGUGAGUGGAAUUCCGAGUGUAGAGGUGAAAUUCGUAGAUAUUCGGAGGAACACCAGUGGCGAAGGCGGCUCACUGGCUCGAUACUGACGCUGAGGUGCGAAAGCGUGGGGAGCAAACAGGAUUAGAAACCCCAGUAGUCC